GUGGCUCAGUGGUAGAGUGCUUGCCUUGCAUGCAGGAGACCCUGGGUUCAAUUCCUCAGC
rnacentral:tRNA from 1 species